CCUGGUGACGAUGGCAGAGAGGUCACACCUGUUCCCAUACCGAACACAGAAGUUAAGCUCUCUAGCGCUGAUGGUAGUUGGACUUACGUUCCGCGAGAGUAGGACGUUGCCGGAC
rnacentral:rRNA from 1 species